AUACAUUUUCCAAGUACGUUCGCGGCCUAAAGAAGAUUGGAAGAAUUCAAAUUACACGUUUAUCGUGAAAUACGCUUUUGGGUCAACGAAAGGGGUCACGAAAUUGGAAAUCCGUAUAUUUUGACGAAACGGAUAAACUCACGGGUGCAAUAUUUCGGCUCGUCGGUGUUGUCGCCGCAAUCAUCUUCGCCGUCGCAGUAUUUGUCCUGGGCGACGCAGUUUCCGGUCCCGCAUAGGUACUCGGAUGGCCUGCAAAUGAAAUACUCGAUGUCGGUGUUGUAGCUGUGGCGCCCGACGAGGAUUCGGCCGACGUCAGGCCUGGAUAGAUCGGGAAGCCGGGAUAUCCAGAAUAGUCUGACGAGAUUCCUGGAUGGUAACUAGCGGAGCCAGC